CCUACGGGUGGCAGCAGUGAGGAAUAUUGGUCAAUGGACGAGAGUCUGAACCAGCCAAGUAGCGUGAAGGAUGACUGCCCUAUGGGUUGUAAACUUCUUUUAUAAAGGAAUAAAACGAGGCACGUGUGCCUGUUUGCAUGUACUUUAUGAAUAAGGAUCGGCUAACUCCGUGCCAGCAGCCGCGGUAAUACGGAGGAUCCGAGCGUUAUCCGGAUUUAUUGGGUUUAAAGGGAGCGUAGAUGGGUUGUUAAGUCAGUUGUGAAAGUUUGCGGCUCAACCGUAAAAUUGCAAUUGAUACUGGCAGUCUUGAGUACAGUUGAGGUAGGCGGAAUUCGUGGUGUAGCGGUGAAAUGCUUAGAUAUCACGAAGAACCCCGAUUGCGAAGGCAGCUUACUAAACUGUGACUGACAUUGAGGCUCGAAAGUGUGGGUAUCAAACAGGAUUAGAUACCCUUGUAGUC
rnacentral:rRNA from 1 species